rnacentral:lncRNA from 1 species
CAGGAACCCUUGAGCAAGGGUUCUGGAAGGAUCUCCAGCAGCAAACCUGCAGGACAACCGUUGCUGGACGUAAGUCCCAGCUGGGAAGCUCACUACCCUGAAGACAGGAGUCCAAGUUUUAUUUGACUUGGCUACAAGGGUGAACCAAGCUAUCUCUGGCUGUGGGGAGCUGGUCCAGUCAGUUUACCUCAUAGGACUCUUAAAAAAGUGCUGUUGGGCAGUCACAGAUGACUGCCAGUGUGUGGACAUGAUUUUCUGAGCCUGAGAGAAUUUUCAGCCUGUCAGUGGCAGAUCUGUUUCCCAAGGGAAAGUCUUUUGGGAAACUUUUCUCUCUCAAGGACUGUUUUGUAAAUAGGUUUUGGUUCUCAAAACAAUGUUGUAUAGAUGUCUGAGUGUGUUUUGCUCUUGUUCCACCAGUGGGACAAGAGAGGUGUUGUUCCUUUUACCAGUCAUGUUAACCUGUAUUGGAACACCUUAUAAAAGGGGCUGAAAACCCUGAAAUAAAGGCUUCUGCCUCCUUGGGAAAAAACCUCUGUUGUUGUGCUCGAAUCCAUGCUUCUAUUUUGUGUCCUCUAGUGACACCAGUGUUGAACGAGGAUUGCGAUCUGCACUGCAGAGGAGUGCAGAAGAAGACCUGAGCCCCUUUGGAUCCAGGGACUCCGAAGACCCCUGGGAAAGGAUCUGGAAGCCAGAAGGAAAGAAGGGGAACUGGGAGAUGGUAUCUAAAUUCAUGGUUGCACUGGUGUGAUACGGAAGGAGGGGUGUGAACCCUAGAUGGUAGCCACUUGUUUAUGGGGAGGUGAAGGAGUUGUGCAAGGUGGCUAAAGACUAUGGGAGGGAGUCUAUGUAUUUCAGUAACCUGGUAUGGGGUACCUUCUCCACGCAUGUCUUAACACCCCAUGACAUGUGAUAUGUGAUGACUAUGCUAUUGUCCCCUAUGUCAGCCCAAGGACCUGGAAAAUAACCUCCUGUAGUGGUUUAGAUUUGCCAAUUUGAGUUUCCCAGACAAUGCAACAAAUAAUAUGGUGGGUUUUUAGCGCUGGCUAAAAUCACCAGGGCAUUUAUUAAUUUCUUGCUGUGAGAUAUGGAUUAGGAGAAGGACAAAACAGGCUUAAAACUUAAAAGGAAAAAAGAAACUAUUAACAGGACUACAAGAACAAGAAACAUCAGAAUAAAACCUCCAGAACACCUUUCGUCCCCCUACUC